rnacentral:rRNA from 1 species
AUUGAACGCUGGCGGCAGGCCUAACACAUGCCAGUCGAACGGAGCGGCGGACGGGUGAGUAAUGCCUAGGCAUGUGCAUGGAAGUUGGGGAUAACGUCCGGAAACGGGCGCUACUACCGACUACAAUCACCUAAGCCUAGGUCGGAUUUGCUAGUUGGUGAGGUAAAGGCCUACCAAGGCGACGCUCCGUAACUGGUAUGAGAGGAUGAUCAGUCACACUGGAAAUGAGACACGGCCCAGACUCCUACGGGAGGCAGCAGUGGGGAAUAUUGGGCAAUUGGCGGAAGCCUGACCCAGCCAUGCCGCGUGUGUGAAGAAGGUCUUCGGAUUGUAAAGCACUUUAAGUUGGGAGGCGUUACCAACAGAAUAAGCACCGGCUAACUUCGUGCCAGCAGCCGCGGUAAUAC